rnacentral:rRNA from 1 species
GACGAACGCUGGCGGCGCGCUUAACACAUGCAAGUCGAGCGAAGCGGCGGACGGGUGAGUAACACGUUAUUAACCUGCCUUACACAUUGGGAUAGCCUCUGGAACCCGGGAUUAAUACCAAAUGGUCUAAGAUUGACUCGCGUCCCAUUAUCUAGUUGGUGAGGUAAACGGCCACCAAGGGGACGAUGGGUAGCCGGACUGUGAGGGUGAACGGCGACAUUGGAACUGAGAAACGGUCCAAACUCUACGGGAGGCAGCAGUGGGGAAGAUUGCAAAAUGGAGGGAACUAUGAUGCAGCGACGCCGGGUGAACGAAGAAGGCAUUCGAGUCGUAAAGUUCUUUUAUAUGGGAAGCGGUACCAUAAGAAAAAGCCCCGGCUAACUACGUGCCAGCCGCCGCGGUAAUAC